rnacentral:rRNA from 1 species
AUGUCACUAGGAGUCUUGGUAUGGAAUGUUAGGGGGCUCAAUAACCCCGCUAGGCGAUGCUCGAUCCGGUUGUUUAUGCAGACUUGCAAUGUACCUCUUGUUUAUUUUCAAGAAUCCAAGUUGGCUGUUGUGGACUCGGUGGUGAUAAACCAGACUCUCGGGCCAGGUUUUGAUGAUUUCGAUUUCUUGCCAGCGGUGGGCGCUAGGGGUGGUAUUCUGUUGGCAUGGAAGGCAUAUCAUCUGCGUGUGACUGAUAUUCACAAGGGCGAAUUCAUGAUCUCGGCUAAGGUUCUCUCCCUGACAGACGGAAAAGAAUGGAUGGUCUCCACAGUGUACGGUCCA